GUUUUAAUAAUUUAAAUAAAAUAUUGGUCUUGUAAACCAAAAAUAAGACUCUCUUUUAAAACU
rnacentral:tRNA from 1 species